rnacentral:tRNA from 1 species
GGGAAGGUGGCUCAGUGGUAGAGUGCUUGCCUUGCAUGCCUGAGGCCCUGGGUUCGAUUCCUCAGCCCCCCUU